AUUGAACGCUGGCGGCAGGCUUAACACAUGCAAGUCGAGCGGGGGAAGGUAGCUUGCUACCGGACCUAGCGGCGGACGGGUGAGUAAUGCUUAGGAAUCUGCCUAUUAGUGGGGGACAACAUCUCGAAAGGGAUGCUAAUACCGCAUACGUCCUACGGGAGAAAGCAGGGGAUCUUCGGACCUUGCGCUAAUAGAUGAGCCUAAGUCGGAUUAGCUAGUUGGUGGGGUAAAGGCCUACCAAGGCGACGAUCUGUAGCGGGUCUGAGGGGAUGAUCCGCCACACUGGGACUGAGACACGGCCCAGACUCCUACGGGAGGCAGCAGUGGGGAAUAUUGGACAAUGGGGGGAACCCUGAUCCAGCCAUGCCGCGUGUGUGAAGAAGGCCUUAUGGUUGUAAAGCACUUUAAGCGAGGAGGAGGCUACUUUAGUUAAUACCUAGAGAUAGUGGACGUUACUCGCAGAAUAAGCACCGGCUAAUUCUGUGCCAGCCGCCGCGGUAA
rnacentral:rRNA from 1 species